rnacentral:ncRNA from 1 species
UUGCAGCCCCAUCAGAAGACAAAGGUAUAAUUGUUUGAACAGACCCUUUUCCAAAUGAUUUAGUUCCUACUAUAAUUGCCCUUUGAUGAUCUUGAAGUGCGCCUGCAACAAUUUCUGAUGCAGAUGCAGAGCCACCGUUAAUCAAAACUACAACAGGUUUUCCAUUUGUUAAGUCUCCUGGCGUUGCGUUAUAGCGUUCUGAGUCUCUAGUUCCUCUUCCUCUUGUUGAAACUAUUUCUCCACUGUUUAAAAAUGCAUCAGAUACACGUAUUGCCUGAUUAAGAAGGCCACCAGGGUUGUUUCUUA